rnacentral:misc_RNA from 1 species
UUUCCGUAGGUGAACCUGCGGAAGGAUCAUUAAAGAGAAUAUGCCCUUCGGGGUAGAUCUCCCACCCUUUGUUUAUAUUACCUUUGUUGCUUUGGCAGGCCCGUCUUCGGACCACCGGCUUCGGCUGGUCAGUGCUUGCCAGAGGACCCAAAACUCUUAUUAUUAAUGUCGUCUGAGUACUAUAUAAUAGUUAAAACUUUCAACAACGGAUCUCUUGGUUCCGGCAUCGUGAAGAACGCAGC